ACGCAGGCUCGCAGCCUGGCCGCGGGGCCGCGAGCCCGAAGGGAGGGGGCGUGGUGGGCGGCGGACCAGCCCUGCGGCGCCGCGAGGGCGCGUCGGGAAGCGGCGCUGCCGCGUGGACCGACCUCGCACGACCCGCGAGCCGCGGAGGGCGAGCCCGGGAGGCUUGCGGAGAAGGCACGGGGGGACAGCCCCGCCCGCUCUGCGGACAGCGACAGCGGUGGACACUCUGGAGCCUCUUGGGGGGCGCGUGCCAGGCUGAGAAGACGAGGGUGGAACCGCAGCUGGGCGUCCCUCUCAGCCCAGAGGCCUUUGAGGAGUGGAAUCUAUCUGGAACCAUCUUUGCUUCCUGCGCCCUUUCUGGUCCCUCUGCAGGCACCACCCGGCCUGUCCAUGCUCUGUCCCACCCCCUGCCCUCCUCCCCCACAGGCAGCCUAGGCGCCCUAGGAGGGAGGCCGGGAGGGAUGGCCCAUGGUGCCCUGCGUACUUGCCAAAACCCUGAGGGCAGGGGAGGGAAUUGUCACAAUAAAUGGGAAGGGAGUUGUCACAGGGA